GCCUUCCUGACUUUGAACAUAAAUUGCAUCUGUUUUGGUAAGCAGGCUACCAGCAAGCCAGACCUGUUCCUGGGAUUACUGUGACCACAGCUGCUGCUCCCCUCCUGGCUGUUUGUAGCAGCCAGAGAGGACCUAGUUCUUGUAUCCCAGACCUUCAACCACAGCCUAACAGCCUCCAAGGGAUCCUCCCUGCUUGGGCUGGUGUUUGUGGCACUGCUGGUGGCUCUGCAGCCUGGAUCCCAAGGAGCGUUCCCAUCCCAUCACCACUGACUGCCAGCAUCGGGAUCACGGCCACCCAGGGAGUUGGACAUGAUGGAGCUGGACACACACCAGGGAAAUCAACGAUCUGAUGGAAAAUCCCGAGGGACCUCAGGUCCCCAUCCUGCUGGACAGCUGGAGGAUGUUCCCACCAAAUGAUCAGCAGGUCGAGGAUGCUGCAUAAAACACUCAGCAGUGCCCCUUUAACGUGGAAGCAACUUGAAUUUUAUUGCCAGUGCUGAAAGCAUCUACAAAUGUAGAUUUAGCAUCAGCCUCCGGGCUUAAGAUACAGCUGUUAUAUUUUCCUUUCUUCCUUUAAUUUUUUCCCCCUCUCUCCUUUGCACUAAUGUAAUGCUUAUUUAGGAACUACAGCCAUCUGUGGUUGCUAGGGAUGGCACUGUUAAAUUUGCUGUUGCUUUC